UACACUUUAAAUCCUUUAACGAGGAUCUAUUGGAGGGCAAGUCUGGUGCCAGCAGCCGCGGUAAUUCCAGCUCCAAUAGCGUAUAUUAAAGUUGUUGCGGUUAAAAAGCUCGUAGUUGGAUCUCGGUUUCACUCAGGUGGUACACCUUGCGGUGUUCACUAUCUGGGUGGACGUUUCUGUUGGUUCGCUCUUGGUGCUCUUCAUCGGGUGCCAUUUGGUGGCCAGCACGUUUACUUUGAAAAAAUUGGAGUGCUCAAAGCAGGCGUUACAGCCUGAACAUUAGUGCAUGGAAUAAUGGAAUAGGAUCUCGAUUCUAUUUCGUUGGCUUUCGGAGUCGAGGUAAUGAUUAAUAGGGACAGACGGGGGCAUUCGUACUGCGACGUUAGAGGUGAAAUUCUUGGAUCGUCGCAAGACGAACUACUGCGAAAGCAUUUGCCAAGAAUGUUUUCAUUAAUCAAGAACGAAAGUUAGAGGUUCGAAGGCGAUCAGAUACCGCCCUAGUUCUAACCAUAAACGAUGCCAACCGGCGAUCCGUCGUCGUUAAUUGAAUGACUCGACGGGCAGCCUCCGGGAAACCAGAGUGUUUGGGUUCCGGGGGAAGUAUGGUUGCAAAGCUGAAACUUAAAGUAAUUGACGGAAGGGCACCACCAGGAGUGGAGCCUGCGGCUUAAUUUGACCCAACACGGGAAAUCUCACCAGGCCCGGACACCGGAAGGAUUGACAGAUUGAGAGCUCUUUCUUGAUUCGGUGGGUGGUGGUGCAUGGCCGUUCUUAGUUGGUGGAGCGAUUUGUCUGGUUAAUUCCGAUAACGAACGAGACUCUGGCCUACUAACUAGAAGGUCUAUCCUUUAUGGGUAGGCCUCUGCUUCUUAGAGGGACGGGCGGCGUUUAGCCGCACGAGAAUGAGCAAUAACAGGUCUGUAUGCCCUUAGAUGUUCUGGGCUGCACGCGCGCUACACUGAAGGAAUCAGCAUGUUCUCCCCUCCCUGAAAAGGGCGGGUAACCCGUUGAAACUCCUUCGUGAUGGGGAUUGGAGAUUGUAAUUAUUCUCCAUGAACGAGGAAUUCCCAGUAGGCGCGAGUCAUCAGCUUGCGUCGAUUACGUCCCUGCCCUUUGUACACACCGCCCGUCGCUACUACCGAUCGAGUGAUUUAGUGAGGACUUCGGACUGGUCUUCAAGUUGGCUUCGGUCGGCUCGAAGUUCCGGAAAGAUGCCCAAACUUGAUCACUUAGA
rnacentral:rRNA from 1 species